UACAGAGGUCUCAAGCGUUGUUCGGAUUCAUUGGGCGUAAGGGGUGCGUAGGUGGCGCCAUAAGUCAGGUGUGAAAUCUCGGGGCUCAACCCCGAAACUGCACUUGAUACUGUGGUGCUCGAGUACUGGAGAGGAGAUUGGAAUUUACGGUGUAGCAGUGAAAUGCGUAGAUAUCGUAAGGAAGACCAGCGGCGAAGGCGAAUCUCUGGACAGUUACUGACACUGAGGCACGAAGGCCAGGGGAGCAAACGGG
rnacentral:rRNA from 1 species